GUCCUCAUUUCUGCAGCACACGUAUUAAAAUUGGAAUGAUACAGAUUAGCAUGGCCCUUGCACAAGGAUGACAUGCAAACUCAUGAAGAAUUCCAUAAUUUU
ensembl:snRNA U6 U6 spliceosomal RNA